CAGACAUGAACAAGAAACUCAUUUAAAGUUGGAUUAUAGUGAAUAUGGUGACUACAUAUUAUUUUUGAAAUGGGAUUCCUCAGGCAAAGAAGAAACAAAUAGACUUCUUGGAGGAGCCAAUGAAGGAACCCAGAUUUGAAGAGACAGAAGAUGUGGAAGUAUCGCCUUUUGGAUCUACUGGUGUUGCACCUGGAUUUCCAUCUCCAUCAGCAAGUGCAUGAAUAAGAGCCAGUGGAUGACUUUGCAAAAAUGUCCAUCCAUCAUCUAGGGGCAUCCAGUUCUCCACUUAAACUAAAAUAGACACUGAAGACAAAUUCUCCAGCAGCAGCGUGCCAAAUAAUGCUUUCUUCAACAGAACCCAUUCCAGUUAGAAUCAUCUCUGUUUACUAUAGAGAUAAACUUUGUUCUUCUGAUCUCUGGAAGUUAUAAAAAUAAUUAUACAAGUCCUCUGGGAAUAAAGGAGUUUAUUAG